UACGUAGGGUGGGCGAGCGUUUGUCCGGAAUUAUUGGGCGUAAAGAGCUCGUAGGCGGUCUGUUGCGUCCGCCUGUGAAAACUCGGGGCUUAACCCCGAGCCUGCAGGUGGAUACGGGCAGGACUAGAGGUAGGUAGGGGAGAAUGGAAUUCCCGGUGUAGCGGUAGAAAUGCGCAGAUAUCGGGAGGAACACCGGUGGCGA
rnacentral:rRNA from 1 species